rnacentral:rRNA from 1 species
AUUGAACGCUGGCGGCAGGCCUAAUACAUGCAAGUCGAGCGAGCGGCGGACGGGUGAGUAAUGUAUGGGGACUGCCCGAUCGAGGGGGAUAACUACUGGAAACGGUGGCUACUACCGCAUACUAUCGGAUAACCCAUAUGGGAUUAGCUAGUGGGUGGGGUAAAGGCUCACCUAGGUGACGAUGUCUAGCUGGUCUGAGAGGGUGAUCGGCCACACUGGGACUGAGACACGGCCCAGACUCCUACGGAGGCAGCAGUGGGGAAUAUUGGGCAAUGGGCGCAAGCCUGACGCAGCCAUGCCGCGUGAAUGAAGAAGGCCUUAGGGUUGUAAAGUACUGUCAGCGGGGAGGCGUUACCCGAAGAAGAAGCACCGGCUAACUCCGUGCCAGCAGCCGCGGUAAUAC